ACUGACGGCGUCAGCUUGUGUUCAAGCCCGGCCUGACAAGGUCGGGAAAUCGGUUGAAACGUUCUCGUGUCUGGGACUGGGAAUUGAAAUUGUUUCUCUCCAUC
rnacentral:ncRNA from 1 species